rnacentral:rRNA from 1 species
UUGAACGCUGGCGGCAGGCCUAACACAUGCAAGUCGAGCGGAUGAAGGGAGCUUGCUCCUGGAUUCAGCGGCGGACGGGUGAGUAAUGCCUAGGAAUCUGCCUGGUAGUGGGGGAUAACGUCCGGAAACGGGCGCUAAUACCGCAUACGUCCUGAGGGAGAAAGUGGGGGAUCUUCGGACCUCACGCUAUCAGAUGAGCCUAGGUCGGAUUAGCUAGUUGGUGGGGUAAAGGCCUACCAAGGCGACGAUCCGUAACUGGUCUGAGAGGAUGAUCAGUCACCGGAGAAGUGGAACGGGGCCAGGACUACUGAGAGACGGAGCAGUGGGAUAUGGGGGACAAUGGGAGAGAGCCUGACACAGCCGUGCGGAGUGUGUGAAGACGGUCUUGGGAUUGGAAAGCCUUUAAUGUGGGGGGAAAGGGCAGUAAUUUAAUACCUUGCUUUUUUGACGUUACCAAAAAAAUAAGCCCCGGCAAACUUCGUG